rnacentral:rRNA from 1 species
GCUUACGGCCAUACCAGCCUGGGUACGCCCGAUCUCGUCUGAUCUCGGAAGCGAAGCAGGGUCGGGCCUGGUUAGUACUUGGAUGGGAGACCGCCUGGGAGUACCAGGUGCUGUAAGGA